rnacentral:rRNA from 1 species
ACGGCUCAGUAACACGUAGUCAACAUGCCCAGGGGACGUGGAUAACCUCGGGAAACUGAGGAUAAACCGCGAUAGGCCAAGGUUUCUGGAAUGGACAAUGGCUGAAACCUAUAUGGCCCCUGGAUUGGACUGCGGCCGAUCAGGCUGUUGGUGAGGUAAUGGCCCACCAAACCUGUACCCGGUACGGGCUCUGAGAGGAGGAGCCCGGAGAUGGGCACUGAGACAAGGGCCCAGGCCCUAUGGGGCGCAGCAGGCGCGAAACCUCUGCAAUAGGCGAAAGCUUGACAGGGUUACUCUGAGUGAUGUCCGCUAAGGGCAUCUUUUGGCACUUCUAAAAAUAGUGUAGAAUAAGGGGUGGGCAAGUCUGGUGUCAGCCGCCGCGGUAAUACCAGCACCCCGAGUGGUCGGGACGAUUAUUGGGCCUAAAGCAUCCGUAGCCGGUUCUGCAAGUCUUCCGUUAAAUCCACCUGCUCAACAGAUGGGCUGCGGAGGAUACUACAGGGCUAGGAGGCGGGAGAGGCAAGCGGUACUCAGUGGGUAGGGGUAAAAUCCUCUGAUCCACUGAAGACCACCAGUGGCGAAGGCGGCUUGCCAGAACGCGCUCGACGGUGAGGGAUGAAAGCUGGGGGAGCAAACCGGAUUAGAUACCCGGGUAGUCCCAGCUGUAAACGAUGCAGACUCGGUGAUGGGUUGGCUUCGAGCCAACCCAGUGCCGCAGGGAAGCCGUUAAGUCUGCCGCCUGGGGAGUAUGGUCGCAAGACUGAAACUUAAAGGAAUNGGCGGGGGAGCAC